rnacentral:sRNA from 1 species
CCCUAGCCCCGAUUGAAGCGGAAAUCCUUUUUUAUGGGUUUACUGUAGCGCAGCGGAAGGAAAAUCUAUAAAAAAGAUUGUAGCGCAAAGCGGGAAAUAGA